GAUGAACGCUAGCGGCAGGCUUAAUACAUGCAAGUCGAGGGGUAGCAAGAUUGUAGCAAUACAAUUGUUGACGACCGGCAAGCGGGUGCGGAACACGUACACAACCUUCCUACAAGUGGGGAAUAGCCCAGAGAAAUUUGGAUUAAUACCCCGUAACAUAGCGAUGUGGCAUCACAUUGCUAUUAUAGCUUCGGCGCUUGUUGAUGGGCGUGCGGCUGAUUAGAUAGUUGGCGGGGUAACGGCCCACCAAGUCUACGAUCAGUAGCUGAUGUGAGAGCAUGAUCAGCCACACGGGCACUGAGACACGGGCCCGACUCCUACGGGAGGCAGCAGUAAGGAGUAUUGGACAAUGGACGCAAGUUUGAUCCAGCCAUGCCGCGUGAAGGAUUAAGGUCCUCUGGAUUGUAAACUUCUUUUAUAAGGGACGAAAAAAGGUCUUUCUAGAUCGUCUGACGGUACCUUAUGAAUAAGCACCGGCUAACUCCGUGCCAGCAGCCGCAGUAAUAC
rnacentral:rRNA from 1 species